GUGGGGAAUCUUCCGCAAUGGACGAAAGUCUGACGGAGCAACGCCGCGUGAGUGAAGAAGGUUUUCGGAUCGUAAAGCUCUUUCGUUAGGGACGAACGUGCUCUUUGUGAAUAAUGAGGAGUAAUGACGGUACCUAAAUAAGAAGCCACGGCUAACUACGUGCCAGCAGCCGCGGUAAUACGUAGGUGGCAAGCGUUGUCCGGAAUUAUUGGGCGUAAAGCGCGCGCAGGCGGGAUAGCAAGUCUGUCUUAAAAGUGCGAGGCUCAACCUCGUGAGGGGACAGAAACUGGUAUUCUUGAGUGUCGGAGAGGAAAGUGGAAUUCCAAGUGUAGCGGUGAAAUGCGUAGAGAUUUGGAAGAACACCAGUGGCGAAGGCGACUUUCUGGACGAUGUCUGACGCUGAGGCGCGAAAGCUAGGGGAGCGAACGGGAUUAGAUACCCUGGUAGUCC
rnacentral:rRNA from 1 species